AUUGAACGCUGGCGGCAGGCCUAACACAUGCAAGUCGAGCGGAUGAAGGGAGCUUGCUCCUGGAUUCAGCGGCGGACGGGUGAGUAAUGCCUAGGAAUCUGCCUGGUAGUGGGGGAUAACGUCCGGAAACGGGCGCUAAUACCGCAUACGUCCUGAGGGAGAAAGUGGGGGAUCUUCGGACCUCACGCUAUCAGAUGAGCCUAGGUCGGAUUAGCUAGUUGGUGGGGUAAAGGCCUACCAAGGCGACGAUCCGUAACUGGUCUGAGAGGAUGAUCAGUCACACUGGAACUGAGACACGGUCCAGGCUCCUACGGGAGGCAGCAGUGGGGAAUAUUGGACAAUGGGCGAAAGCCUGAUCCAGCCAUGCCGCGUGUGUGAAGAAGGUCUUCGGAUUGUAAAGCACUUUAAGUUGGGAGGAAGGGCAGUAAGUUAAUACCUCGCUGUUUUGACGUUACCAACAGAAUAAGCACCGGCUAACUUCGUG
rnacentral:rRNA from 1 species